rnacentral:rRNA from 1 species
GACGAACGCUGGCGGCGCGCCUAACACAUGCAAGUCGAACGGAGUCAAGAGGAGCUUGCUUUUCUUGACUUAGUGGCGAACGGGUGAGUAACGCGUGAGUAACCUGCCCUGGAGUGGGGGACAACAGUUGGAAACGACUGCUAAUACCGCAUAAGCCCACGGAUCCGCAUGGAUCUGCGGGAAAAGGAUUUAUUCGCUUCAGGAUGGACUCGCGUCCAAUUAGCUAGUUGGUGAGGUAACGGCCCACCAAGGCGACGAUUGGUAGCCGGACUGAGAGGUUGAACGGCCACAUUGGGACUGAGACACGGCCCAGACUCCUACGGGAGGCAGCAGUGGGGGAUAUUGCACAAUGGGGGAAACCCUGAUGCAGCGACGCCGCGUGGAGGUAGAAGGUUUUCGGAUUGUAAACUCCUGUCGUUAGGGACGAUAAUGACGGUACCUAACAAGAAAGCACCGGCUAACUACGUG